GAGACGGUAGUCUCCUUACGCGCGUGUCCUGGCAGCGGUUGUUGCCUGUAAAGAUGAGGUAAGGCGAGGUAAAGGAGUAGGCGGCGGGCUGCUUGCGGCGUUUCCCGCGGGAAUAGUGCAGCACGUUCCCGCUGCCACAUUGGACCACCUGGAAGAUCAUGAAGGAGCCACUCCCAGUUUAGGUUUCUCUGUGCAAAAAGGCGCAUUAUAGAAAAGCAGAUUUUAACAUCGUCCGUUGAAGAAGAAAGGGCUUGAGGAAGAUCUCACGUGCAGAUCGCUGGAGAGUUGUUUCAGACAAAGAACUUAAUUCUUUCAACCAGGAAUCCGUAGGGAAACUUGUUUAACGUGUGACAGUUGAACACGAAGAGCGUUAUGCAGUGCAGGAAAAAAAAGUGACUAUAGAUAGAUUUUUCACCAACAAUGACCCUGCAACUAAGAGACAAAGAAGAGAGGAAACCCCUGAGAGAUCUCCACAAUGUCCUAAUGAACAAUAACCUCCCCCGCACCUAGGAACAGUGGACUUCCGAAAUGGAUCCCCAACUGUCAAAUAUGCAACAUGGACGAUAACUCAUAUUGUUAGACUGUUGGAUGACAAGUCAAAAGAGGAUAAGGAGAUUAGAAGAAGCUGAAUGAAUUAUUUUCCUUUGUCUUCACUGCAGAAGAUAGAGAACAUGCAACUGUGCCUGAAAUGAGGUUUUCAGGAGGGAUUCUGUGGAAUUGAAACAGAUACUGUUGACAAGAGAUGAAGUUCUCAGCUUUACUGACAAAUAGAACAUUAAUAAAUUAAUGUGCCCAGUAACAUUAAUAAAUUACCUUAGUAUCCUUUCUAAAGUUCUUAACUCAAAUACGAAAUUGCUAAUCCUCUAACAAAAGCACGUAACAUGUCUCUGAAAUCAGCCUCUGUACCAGAGGACUGGACAAUAUAACACCAAUUUAAAAUGGUACCCUAGGGGAGAUUUAGGAAAUUACAAGCUGGUUAGCUUAAUAUGUGUUCCAGGUAAAUUGGAUGAAAGCAGUAUUAAAAAUAAAAGUAUUAAGCAUAUAGAAGAACAGGCCUUGCUGAAAAGGUAAGCUCUGUCUCUAGCCUUUUAAAUUUCUUCAAAAAUAUUGAUAAACAUGUGGAGAUGGGUGAUCUGGUAUUUAUUGUUUAUUUGGACUUCAAAAAGGAUUUUGACAAAAUCUCUUACCAAAGACUUCUGACCAAAUGUAUUAGUCAGGAAGUAAAAGGAGAAGUCAUCUAAUAGAUCAGUAAGUGAACAGAAAACAGAAAGGAGGAAUAAAUGGUAAAUUCUCCCAGUAGAAGGAUGUAAACAUUGGGAUUCCACAGGGUUCUAUACUCUGUAUGGUUUUCAACUAAUUCAUACACGAUCUACAAUUAGGAGUAAACAGCAAAGUUGUCAAGUUUGGGGAUGGCAUUGAACUAUUUAGGAUGGUUAAACCCAAAUGUAAUUGUAAGGAAAUCCAAAACUGGAAGAAUGGACAACCAAAUAGCAAGUGCAAUUUUGGGUAAGCAAGUGUAAGGUGCUGUUCAUUCGGGAAGAAAAUCCUAUCUUUAAACUGAUGGGAUCUAAGCUAGUGGUGACUGACGAAGAAAGAGAUCUUGAGAUUAUGAUGGACAGCUCAAUGAAAAUGUCAACCCAAUGUGCAACUGUUGUGAGAAAGGCAAAUUCCAUGUUGGCAAUAAUUAGAAAAGGAACUGAGAAUAAAACUGCUAAUAUCAUACUGCCAUUAUAAGAAAUGUUAAUACAACUACAUAUAAAAUACUGUAUACAGUUCUGGUUGCUGCACCAUAAAAAGGAUACUGUAGAGCUGGGAAAGAUGCAGGAAGGGUCAACUGAAAUGAUCAUGGAACUGGAGUAACUCCUUUGCAAGAAUAUGUGACAACAUCAGAGUCUAUUUAACUCAGAAAAGUGGAGCACAAGGAUAGACUGAUAAAGAUGUACAAAAUUACAAAACAGAUAAAUGGAAAGACUUCACACAGCACACAAUGAAA